AUUUGGGUUUUUAGAUGGACUUUUCUUUGUUGGAGUUUUACUUGUUUCUUGUU
rnacentral:ribozyme from 1 species